rnacentral:misc_RNA from 1 species
CAGGAUUUAUGUCAUAACUUUACAAUUUAUAUCAUCGUCUUGAAUUAUUAUCAGAACAACCAAAGUAAUAAAUGUGUGCAUUAUGCACAAUGGAGGAAUUUCAUAUGAACACAGGUUCAGUAAAAUGGUUUAACGCAGAUAAAGGUUUUGGAUUUAUCGAAGUUGAAGGUGGAGACGACGUAUUCGUACACUUCUCAGCAAUUCAAGGCGAAGGUUUUAAAACAUUAGAAGAAGGUCAAGCAGUUACUUUCGACAUCGAAGAAGGUAACCGUGGACCACAAGCAACUAACGUUGUUAAGUAAUAAUUUAUAAUUGAUAAAAAGUCUUUCUUUCAUAGAAAGGCUUUUUAU